UUACAGCCAUAUCACGUUGAAACGCCUGUUCUCGUAAGAUCACUGAAGUUAAGCAAUGUCAAGCCUGGUCAGUACCUAAACGGGUAACCAUUUGCGAAUGUCAGGUGCU